UACGGGGGGAGCAAGCGUUGUUCGGAUUUACUGGGCGUAAAGGGCGCGUAGGCGGUUGGAUAAGUCAGCUGUGAAAACCACGGGCUUAACUCGUGGCCUGCAGUUGAGACUGUCUGGCUUGAGUGUGGGAGAGGAGAGUGGAAUUCCCGGUGUAGUGGUGAAAUGCGUAGAUAUCGGGAGGAACACCAGUGGCGAAGGCGACUUCCUGGCCUGUUCUUGACGCUGAGGCGCGAAAGCUAGGGUAGCAAACGGG
rnacentral:rRNA from 1 species